rnacentral:rRNA from 1 species
AAAAUAUCUAUCCUCCCUCUAAGCCUAGGUAGAAAACUAAGUUAUAAGACAAGGAUGAACACGAUAUAUGGUACUUUUUAAAAUCUGGUUCCCAAAGAAAUAAAACAUUUUAAAAAGAAUUUUAAAAUAAUGUAUUUAGCUUAUGCUGAGUAUAUAUUAGUGAGCAACUAAUUUAAAAAUAUUUAAGGAAUAAUAGUCCCCUCUGUUAUAAUAAAUUACUAUUGACCUAAUUUAUUUAUUAAGCUUCUCUUCUUAUUUGGGUAAUUAAUUCUAAGAAUUAGAACUUGUUUACACUAGUAAAUAUACUUUUAUUAUUUUCUUACUUAAAUAAGUUUUAUCAAUUUUAAAUUAAAUAUAAACUAAAUAACUUGAGAUUCUCCAAACUGUUUAACAAAGACAUAGUAAGACUGUGUCUUAUGUAUCUGCCCAAUGAAUAAUUUUUUAUGGCUUUAAAGUAGCGCAAUAAUUAGUUUAUUAAUUGUAAACCUGUAUGAAGCUAGCAUUGGUUAAUCAUGUUUAUUCUUAUCUGUUGAAUCUUAGUUAUCAGUACAAACGCUGAUAUGCCCCCCGAAGACGAUAAGACCCUAAGACCUUCACCUUGUUUGGCUGGGAUAGCCUACUUAAUAUAAUAAAGAAACCUUAAUUAUUACGAACCAAUUAUUUUGCUAUACAUAGGUACCUUAGGGAUAACAGCGCGGAAUACUUUUAGAGCUCUUAUUUAAAAGAUAUUCGUGACCUCGAUGUUGAAUUAAGUAAUAUAGUGCUGCAGAAGGUGCUAUUUUAAGUCUGUUCGACU